rnacentral:rRNA from 1 species
UACGUAGGGUGCGAGCGUUGUCCGGAAUUAUUGGGCGUAAAGAGCUUGUAGGCGGUUUGUCGCGUCUGCCGUGAAAAUCCGGGGCUCAACCCCGGACUUGCGGUGGGUACGGGCAGACUAGAGUGUGGUAGGGGAGACUGGAAUUCCUGGUGUAGCGGUGAAAUGCGCAGAUAUCAGGAGGAACACCGAUGGCGAAGGCAGUGGGCUGGGCCGGCACUGACGCUGAGGAGCGAAAGCGUGGGGAGCGAACAGG